AGGCUAUGUUGGCCGGGCGACGGUUGUCCCGGUUUAAGCGUGUAGGUGUGUGUUCCAGGUAAAUCCGGUUCACUUUAACACUGAGGCGUGACGACGAGGCACUACGGUGCUGAAGCAACAAAUGCCCUGCUUCCAGGAAAAGCCUCUAAGCAUCAGGUAACAUCAAAUCGUACCCCAAACCGACACAGGUGGUCAGGUAGAGAAUACCAAGGCGCUUGAGAGAACUCGGGUGAAGGAACUAGGCAAAAUGGUGCCGUAACUUCGGGAGAAGGCACGCUGACACGUAGGUGAAGUGAUUUACUCAUGGAGCUGAAGUCAGUCGAAGAUACCAGCUGGCUGCAACUGUUUAUUAAAAACACAGCACUGUGCAAACACGAAAGUGGACGUAUACGGUGUGACGCCUGCCCGGUGCCGGAAGGUUAAUUGAUGGGGUCAGCGCAAGCGAAGCUCCUGAUCGAAGCCCCGGUAAACGGCGGCCGUAACUAUAACGGUCCUAAGGUAGCGAAAUUCCUUGUCGGGUAAGUUCCGACCUGCACGAAUGGCGUAAUGAUGGCCAGGCUGUCUCCACCCGAGACUCAGUGAAAUUGAACUCGCUGUGAAGAUGCAGUGUACCCGCGGCAAGACGGAAAGACCCCGUGAACCUUUACUAUAGCUUGACACUGAACAUUGAGCCUUGAUGUGUAGGAUAGGUGGGAGGCUUUGAAGUGUGGACGCCAGUCUGCAUGGAGCCGACCUUGAAAUACCACCCUUUAAUGUUUGAUGUUCUAACGUGGACCCGUUACCCGGGUUGCGGACAGUGUCUGGUGGGUAGUUUGACUGGGGCGGUCUCCUCCUAAAGAGUAACGGAGGAGCACGAAGGUUGGCUAAUCCUGGUCGGACAUCAGGAGGUUAGUGCAAUGGCAUAAGCCAGCUUGACUGCGAGCGUGACGGCGCGAGCAGGUGCGAAAGCAGGUCAUAGUGAUCCGGUGGUUCUGAAUGGAAGGGCCAUCGCUCAACGGAUAAAAGGUACUCCGGGGAUAACAGGCUGAUACCGCCCAAGAGUUCAUAUCGACGGCGGUGUUUGGCACCUCGAUGUCGGCUCAUCACAUCCUGGGGCUGAAGUAGGUCCCAAGGGUAUGGCUGUUCGCCAUUUAAAGUGGUACGCGAGCUGGGUUUAGAACGUCGUGAGACAGUUCGGUCCCUAUCUGCCGUGGGCGCUGGAGAACUGAGGGGGGCUGCUCCUAGUACGAGAGGACCGGAGUGGACGCAUCACUGGUGUUCGGGUUGUCAUGCCAAUGGCACUGCCCGGUAGCUAAAUGCGGAAGAGAUAAGUGCUGAAAGCAUCUAAGCACGAAACUUGCCCCGA
rnacentral:rRNA from 3 species